CUCUGUUUGGCCACAGAACAGGUACAGCACAGGAGGUUUAGGCAUAGGCUUCCUCACAGUGCCAGGCCAAUCUGGUUUAGCCCUGCCCAGGGCAGAUCAUCUCUAAGGAUGAGAGGG
rnacentral:sRNA from 1 species